AGGAGUCUAACAUGCGCGCGAGUCGUCGGGUCGGAUACGCUCCGCUAAACCCGCAGGCGCAAUGAAAGUGAAGGCCACCCUUCAGCGGGGCCGAGGGAGGACGGGGGCUCCUCCAAAGGGCCCCCCGCACUCCCGGGGCGUCUGAUUCCUCAUUGCGAGGGGAGGCGCACCCAGAGCGCACACGUUGGGACCCGAAAGAUGGUGAACUAUGCCUGGCCAGGACGAAGUCAGGGGAAACCCUGAUGGAGGUCCGUAGCGAUUCUGACGUGCAAAUCGAUCGUCGGAGCUGGGUAUAGGUGCGAAAGACUAAUCGAACCAUCUAGUAGCUGGUUCCCUCCGAAGUUUCCCUCAGGAUAGCUGGCUCUCGGAGAGGAGUCUCAUCCGGUAAAGCGAAUGAUUAGAGGCCUUGGGGCCGAAACGACCUCAACCUAUUCUCAAACUUUAAAUGGGUGAGAACUCCGGCUUGCUCGAUCAAGUAUUUUGUCAAUGAAGCCGGAGAUUGGGGA
rnacentral:rRNA from 1 species